rnacentral:tRNA from 1 species
GCCUCGGUGGUGUAACCGGUAGCUCGCCGGGGUCGCACCCGGAGGUGGAGGUUCGACUCCUUCCCCGAGGCU